rnacentral:misc_RNA from 1 species
AAGACAAUUAAUAUUUGCCAUUGCAAAACUAAGAGAAGAUAAUAAUUGUCAACUUAGUUACUGAAUUAAACCAAAAAAUAAUACAUAUAGGCAACAUAUCUUAUAGGUGUUUAAACACAAGUGAGAGUUGCAGUAGUCCAACUUUAUUCAUCCAUGCAACAAACAAAGAAAUUGACAAAACAUAAAACAUCAACUUUAUUUACAUGCAUCAAAAGAUACCAGCUUUGGAUCCUUGCAUAUGAGAAUACUUGGUGGUUUUGAGUAUCUACCUUAUUGAAAGCAAGCAGAUAGGUCCUUGGCUUCUACUGUUCUUGGAGUUGCACUUUUUGUUCAGUGGCAUAUAAUGUAUGUCUUUCCUCAUUCUCUUAUAAUAUUACGUGGGUAUAACACAUUCGUAGAGUCUAUUAUGCACGUAGAAUUUGUAAAUUCCAGCUAUAUUCCAUCAAGUACAUCAACAGAGCCAUCCAUUAUGAUAGAAUGUUUCAUUGGGAACUUGCUAGUCAUUCUGUUCCUCUUUCUGUAUGCACACUAAAAGCAUAUUCUUGAUAAAUCAUAACAGAGCACCAUAAAAUGUAAUGGAAUGAAGAUGCAAUAAUGAUUAAGAAUGCAUUUUAUACACUCCACUAGGAUCUACCAAAUCUACUCUUUAAAUUCUUUGCAAGUAUUAUAUUUUGGUUCACUUAGAUUAACACAACUAGGGAAGUCUGUUAAUUUUAUCUGGGAUCGGUUAAGUUUUGUGGCUCCUUUAUAUACUUCGUAAUUUUUACAUUUCCACGAUAUGGAAUUUAACCCAU